GUCUAAAUCCACGGUCUAGUAAGCUCUAUUACAUUCUCGUCUGGGCAGAUGGGAGGGAGGUUCAAAAGGGAGGAAAUAUAUGUAUACCUAUGGCUGAUUCGUGUUGAGGUUUGACAGAAAACAGCAAAAUUCUGUAAAAUGAUUAUCCUUCAGUAAAAAAUAAAAAGCCUGUGUCCUGGCGCCCCUGCCCCCAGUGGCCCUGCUCACCGCAGUCCCAUCCUCCAGGGUCCCACUGGUCCUUUACCUUCUCUCACGUCCUAGGCUUGUAGUCUUUGAUAGUUUGACCAGGGGAAAAUUUCAGGCUUAAAAGGCAAUGCAAAAGCAUGGGUCAUGUAGCCUGGGCUUCCCUGGUGGCCCGGUGGGAAAGAAUUCACCUGCGAAGGUAGGAAACACAGGUUCAAUCCCCGGUCUGGGAAGAGCUAGUCUGUGAGCCACAACUACUCCAGGAGCCGCACCUGCUGAAGGCCACGUGCCUGGAGCCCACGCUCUGCGAGGAGAGAAACCAGCGAUGAGAAGCCCGCACGCGGCCGUUAGCCGGGAGCGCCUGCUCACUGCAGCCAGAGAAAGCUCCAGGCUGCCGCGGAGGCCCAGCGCAGCCGGGAAUAAAUACAAAUGCAUCUUCAGCAUAGCCCAGUAGAUGACACAUCACAAGGUCGUCACGCCCCAGAUUGCGAAGGAGACAGUCCACCGUGAAGUGACCGUCUCCAGCUCGGUUCCUCCUCCGGCAUCCACCGUAGUCACCUUGGAUCCGCAGCAGGUCCUGCGAAUUCCUCCCAGGUUCCCGGCGUUUGCAUCUGCAGGAAACAGGAGCAGGUUGGCGCCACGGCCGCAGGAGCACGGCGACUGCGCCGGGAGCCCAGCACGCGCGGCGGUGUCUCGGGGCUGCGGUCUGGGGGCUGGGCGAACUGCACGGGUCAGCACCUGCAGCCACCUCACCUCCAGUUUGUCUCAUCAUCCCACGUGACCUCCGGUGCCUUUUCACCCUUUCCCACCGCAGAACAGAGAACCAGACACCGGGCAACGUGGGGCUGCCUCUAACAACUCCGUCUCUGGUUGGAGCCCUCUGCAUGUGUGUAUGGGCACGAAGCACGUUCCGCGGAGUCCCCGCGAAUCAAACAGCCAAAACGCGUGGCUGACCUCGAGAGCUGAGAGGUUUGCCCUUUACAGUUUGAAGACAGCUCUUGGGGCGUCCGCAGUCUUCUCUCUUUGGAACUGAACACAGAGCGUUCCCGUAAGUCCUGACCAAGGGGCCCAGCCCCACGUGCCCUUCCUGACCGCACCACCUGGCACUUCUAAGACACGGUGCCCAGGCCUGGAAGGAGUGACCCCUGUCUGCUCGGCACACAUACCCGUGAUGCAGCGCCCGAUGGGCCCUGAUGACAUCAGCACCCCCAGAGAUCAGGCUCCAGCAUCCCUGGAGUGAUGUGAUGUGAUGUGGUCUCACACACUCCCCACCGGAAGGCAGACUCGGCUUCCUGGCCGGUGAGCCUGCCUUGGCGCACGAGGCGAAGGGACGGAGUGCGGUUCUGAGCCCAGCGCCUGAGAUGCCCUGUUGGCAGUGCCCCUCUCCCCGGGGGCGGCUUGGGCCUUGCUGGGGAGGACGAGAGAACACGCGGUGUACAUACAGAUGGGCUGUCCCGGCCGAGGCCAUCCUGCACUGGUCAGCGUGGCUGACCUCCUGGCCAGUACACGAGUGGCUCAGUCACCUCGGCUGUCUGGCCCGGUCAGGAGCCGCCUGGCUCACCUGCAGGCCUGGGAGCAGUACUAAACGGUCAGUGUUUCAUCCACUGAGGCUCCAGAGCUGAGUUUUUUAGUGUUAUUUUGGCAAGACAUAGUUAACACACCAUCUGACUAGCAUCACCCAGGAUUGGA
ensembl:lncRNA